GCAGGCAGCCAAGCUUCAGUAACAUCAUUAGGUAUCUUGAGUUAUAAAGGAACAGAUGAAGGACCAGCUCCAACCAUGAGAACGUUUGCUAUGAACACAAGGAUGGAGACCCUGUCUACGCCCCAGAUGAGAUAACUACUAUGACAUCUGAAGGUUACAGGAGAAAGAAAAUUUGGCAAGAUGGAAUUGAAUCCACACACUCCAUUCCAUGGAAGCCAGCUGAACUGCCCAUACUUGGUGAUAUCAAGUGAGAGACAGGGAUGGAAGGGAGGGAAGAGAAACCUUAGGAGAAAGAAUUGCUCCCUGCCCUGACCUUCUACUUUCUAGAUGGAAACACAACUUUCCAGAGCAAUAGGAGGAUAGUAAGAUGCAGUAGAGCAUUGAUAGAUCUUAAUUAAGUUGGAAUUUCUUCCUAACUAAUGUCAACCAAAUCACUGUCAUACAAAUGCAUUCAACAACCCCACGCCCUUGGAGAAAGGAACAUCAGGUGUGGGGAGAAGUCACCAAGAUUUCAGUGCCCAGCCAGCAAGAGAAUUGAGGAAGCUCAUCAAUAAAAGGCUGAGACGAUUCAAGAAGCCAACCCAAGCACCCUUGGCCAUGACAGGCCGUCACAACUGCUGAAAUGUCAAGGUCAUUACUACCUUGACAAGUUGAAACAGCACACCAGCAGUCUAAAACAGUUUACGUUUAAAGAACACUAUAGACACUACUAGAAAGCACAAUGAUCUCAUAAACACAGUAAAGUUACAGUGUACUUUUAUAUAUACCAAUGGUGUACUCCCAGAGAAAGAAAUUAGGAAAAUAUCCCAUUCAAACAGUUUUUCAAAAGUGCCUGAAAAUUCACAUAACCAAAGAAGUGAAAGAUCUUUACAAUGAAAAUUUCAAGAUACUGAAAAAGGAAAUGGAAGAAGAAACCAGAUCAGGGAAAGAACUUCAGUGCUCCUAGUUUGGCAGAACUAAUAUUGUGAAAAUGGUUAUGCUACCAGAAUCAACCUACUGGUUUAAUAUAAUCCCUAUCAAAAUUUUGAUGUUAUAUUUUACAGAUUUAGGAAAACCAUUCAGAAACUCAGAUGGAACCACAAAAGACCAUGGGUAGCUCCAGCAAUUAAAUAAUCUUAAGUAAUAAGAACACAGCUGGAGGUAUCAUAUCUAAGCUCAAAUCAUACUGCAGAGCUAUAAUCUCUGGUUCUCUGUCCCUACACACACACACACACACACACACACACACACACACACACGCACACGCACACACACACGCACACGCACACGCACACAUGCACACGCGCACACACGCGCACACACACGCACAUGCACACACACAGAUAGACAGAGAGAGAGACAGAGACAGAGACAGAGAGAAAGAAUCUGGUACUGGCAUUAAAACUCAUAGGCAGAUCAAGGUGACAUGGCACAGGAUCUGGAGAUGUACUGGCAAUGCAAUGCCUACCUACUUUUGACUCAGGAGGGUUUGACUCAUGCAGUGGACAAAGAAAGCCUAGUCAACAAAUAGAGCUGGAAACUGGAUGUCUACCCACAGAAAAAUAAGAGUACAUCCAUACAUUUCACUUUGUAUAAAACCCAAUUCAAAAUGAAUCAAAGACCUUAAUUUGAAAACAUGAAACACUAAAAAUGUGAGAGGAAUACACAGAAACGUUUUUGCGACAGUGCUGGUGGCAGGGACUUUCGACACAGAACUUGCAGGAACCAGCCCCAGGUAUGAGUAGAUAGGACUCCACAGAAUUAAGAAUUUUCUGAACACAAGGAAACAUCAGCAGGGCACAGACAGGGAGAAGAGCUCUACCAGCCACACUCGAGACAGGAGACUAAUGUCCAGGAUUUACUACUGCAGAAAUUAAAUGCAAAGGCAACAGGACGUCUAGUCAACAAAUGGAUGAAUGAAAUGGACUAUUUACAACAAGAAAUGAAUGGUGAACGACUAUUCUUAACUGUCCAACAUUCCUACCCAUCAUGGAAAUGCAAAUUAUACUACCUCACCUCUGUCAGAAUGGCCAUCACCAAGAAAUCUGAAUUUGGAGAUGCUGGGGAGGAUGUAGAGAAAGAGGACCCUUACCCAUUGCAGGGAGUGCUGCUCCUAAAUACAGCCAUUGUGGAAAUCAAUUCUGAGGUUCCUAGAAAAAAAGAGAGAGAGAAAGAAAGGAAGAAAGAAAGAAAGAAAGAAAGAAAGAAAGAAAGAAAGAGAGAAAGAAAGAAAGAGAGAAAGAAAGAAAGGAAGGAAGGAAGGAAGGAAGGAAGGAAGAAAGAGAAAAUAAAAGAAAGAUACAAUUACCAAAGGACCCAGUCAUUCCACUCUCUGGCAUAAACUGGAAGAACUCCAUAUCCUACCCUAGAGGUAACUGAAUAUUCAGGUGUGUUGCUAUUCUAUUUAUAACAAAUGAAUGGAAUUAAAGUACAUGACUAUCAACAGA